rnacentral:rRNA from 1 species
AUGGCGCAGGGGCAGGGGGCGGCGACGUCGCUGCCGGCGGGGUUCCGGUUCCACCCGACGGACGAGGAGCUCAUCCUGCACUACCUCCGCAACCGCGCCGCCGCCGCGCCGUGCCCCGUCCCCAUCAUCGCCGACGUCGACAUCUACAAGUUCGAUCCAUGGGACCUCCCCUCCCAGGCGGUGUACGGCGACUGUGAGUGGUACUUCUUCAGCCCGCGGGACCGUAAGGCGUCGGCCGUCAAGAAGGCGCUCGUCUUCUACACGGGCCGCCCGCCCAAGGGCACCAAGACGGCCUGGAUCAUGCACGAGUACCGCCUCGCCGCCGACCCCCUCGCCGCCGCCGUCAACACCUACAAGCCCAUCAAGUUCCGCAACGUCUCCAUGAGGCUGGAUGACUGGGUGCUGUGCCGGAUUUACAAGAAGACAGGCCUCGCGUCGCCGAUGGUGCCGCCGCUCGCCGACUACGACCACAUGGCCGACCACGACGACCUCUCCAGCGGCGGCGCCUUCACCAACGCCACCUGCAGACCCAUGAUAAGGCAGCAGCACCACCAGCAGUCUCUCGCCGGGAGGCUCCCGACGUUCCCGUCCUUCUCCGAGCUGUUCGACGACUACCAGUUCGCGCAGAUCUUGGACAUCGACGUCGAGCACGGCGCCACCCACCACCUCGCCGUCCAUCCCGCCCUGAACCAGCUCCUCCCCGUCGGCGACAGCAGGCACGUAGUGGAGCCGUCGUACUACGCGCCGUCGUCCUCGUCGCCGGACGCCAGCGGCGGGAGCUCGGGGAAACGCAAGGCGGCGAGCCCGGAAGAACGCGCCACGCACCAGCCGCCGGCCAAGAAGCUCAACGGGUCGUGCUUCGACGCGCCGCCGCAGUCGGCGAAUGGCUGGCAGGCCGUGGCGUCCGUGCUGGGCGGCCUCAACGAUCACAUGCUUCCUCAGUUCUAA